CAAGAAGAGAAGAACUGAGUGAGCUCAGACUCUCAACUUUCAGUCGACUGUCAGAGAAGAAGCAGUUUUAGAAAAUAAUGUACUGGCUGAUGGAGUUACUUUAGAUGCACUGGUGCCAUGAGAGGACUUGAUGUAGGAACCAGGAGAGGCUCGGACCGGAGGCUGGACGGAGGAGACCGGACCUGAAGAACCAUGACUGAAAUGAUCUCUGCCAUGAUGACGGCUGCUCUCGGUCCAGCAGCACCGCUCGGUCCGUGUCCUGCUCAGCACCGGUCCGGUACCGGGUGUGUGUGUGUUGGGGGGGCGGGGACCUGGCCAUGGUGCAGCUGCUGUAUGAGACAUAAAUAAACGAAACAAUAAAAAUAUGAGCUGUGUAAGUGUGUCAGCCUCAUUAUUUGCUAUAUCAGGGUUACAUGAACGGACCUAUUCAAAGCUCCGCCGGUGUCUGUUCAUCC